AAUCUGGGAAAGGAACUGUUUUCCUUUAGAAAAAGUCCCAUCCCAUUAAAAUGAAAACGCCUCACAGAGGCUUUGCUGAUCUACAGACCCAAACAAUCCUCUUGAAAAUAAGGGUUUACUUUUAAGACACUUUUCACACUUUGUGUUUUGUUGCCGCUUAAUGUUGAGCUGGAUUUUGAAAUUUCUGAAAUCCUACGCAAAACAAAAUGCCUGUCUUCUGUCUGUCUCCGGACGGCAGGAGGCUGUCUAUGCCGUGCGCGGUGGGAUGGGGAAGUUGUGGGCGUCUGAGGGAGUGGGUUUGCUGGAGGGACACAAGGCAAGGAGUUAAAUAAUCGUGGUGUAGUACUGUCUGCCUCGACAUGGGCUCCGUGUUCAGCCCAGGUCAGCAAGCCGUGUCUGCAGAUAAAGAGCUAUUCUGGUAAAGUGAGCUCACAGUGGAUGUGUAAAUGCAAUAAAACCUAAAAUUUGCAUAACGUAUACCCCAUGACCGAGUCUUCUCUCCCUAAGAAUCAAAGUUUCUAACCUGUUUUUGGAAAUGGUCUUCCUUAAAUCAAAAAAAUAAGACAAAGAUAGAAGUAAAUAAACAGGCCAGUCCAACAUGGAGGCCCUGGCAGCUCUGCCGUGGGGGAGCCUGGUGCUCAGCUGCAGAUGAUGACAGAGCUGAGGAGAGACACCACCCACCUGCUCACAGCCCCGGCCUGUUAAUCUGAAACUGCUGCAUCCCAGUCUUGGGCUGGUUUUUAAAUAGCAAGUCAAGAGGGAAGCCAUGCUUGUGUGGGGACUGAGGGAGCUGAGUUUGAGAUAGCGCACAGACGGAAAGGCUACUGGGACUGCAGCCCUCCUCUUCCCAUCACUCAGGUCUUGUGAAUAGCCCGUGUGUGUGUUUUGGCUUUAAAGGCUAUUUCAGGGAAAAACAACAACAAUGCAAGAAGGCUCCCACUGUAGCGUCUGUCUGAGACUGGCUGCUGGUGCUUUGGGGUUGUGUCGGCAUUUCCACCCAGGCUUCACUUGGUGCUUUCCCAGCAGUCUUGUUUUCACAGCUGCCCCAUGACCGGGCAGGAGCCCGUAAAUGAUUGUAGCCACAACUCUUGCAAGACCUCGUUGUUGGCAGAUCUGUUUUCUGCUGGAUCACUUUGGUGUUGUCUUGGUUGUUUCCCCAGGCAAGCCAAGAACCUAGGUAUGGAAGUGUGUGUGAAAAGGAGAUGAGCUAUUAGGAUAAUUAGCAUCGUCCAUGAAACCUCCACACUUUAGAUGCUUGUUACAUCAAAAGCAUUUAGGGUUGAAGUUACAUCUUUAAGCAUUUUAGUGAGUUUGAACACUUGACUCUGUAUCUCCAGCAUCUGCCUGGUUUAGGUGUCUUACAUCAUCUUUCUGGGAUCUGUUUCAGCAGCAGAGAAAAAAAAAAGUAUGUUAAAUAAAACCUAGGAAGGCUGAACUUACACACUCAGAUUAUUUUUUUUCAAGUGUUCUCUGCCUGAAACUAAUUAGCUCAUGCUAAUUAGCCCUAAGUGGUGAAUUGCUAGGGAGGCAGCUGUGGAUGCCAUCAGUCAGACACCAAAAUCUAGUUCCUGGUGAAAUGAGAGCCCAGGUGAGCCUCUCCAGUUGACACAAGUGUUGUUACUCUGAAGACUUGUCCUGGGUACCCCAGCUGGUUGAAACUGGAGAAAAAGCAGGAGAAGCUAUAUAUAUAUGAAGGCUUUGGGAAAAUAACUUUAAAGAGGAACAAAAACUCCAUCUUCCUGCUCGCUGCUGUCCCAUACAAAAAAGAAAAUCUCACCAUGGAACUCCUGAAUUACAGGAAUUCCUGGAGCCCCAGCAAACUUUGUCUAAUCUCUCCCAGUCCCUCACGUAUCGCCUCUGAAUGUUUUCAGUGAGUUCCCAGACCUCGUGCUUUCUUGCUCCUGAUAACUAGCCAUUGCUGGGAUGCCAGAACCACUGCAUUGCAUAGUUCAGCUAUCAACAGAAAUAUAGUGAGAUAAAGGGGAUGGUUAAUACCAGAGUGUCUGUGGUAAUGCAGAUGUCAGAGAUACUCAACUGGCUUUCCCGGACAAGUUCUUUAAAUGGGUCAAGUUACUUUGGGAAAAUAGUAUCUAGCUCUUUUGAAAGUGUGGACAUCCAUAAGAACAUCAUGCAGACAUUUCCUCCUGUUGAAGAGUCAGGCAUCCAUCAAAUAUAUCCAUAGUACUUCAGAGUCUUGGCAAAGUAAUACCACCUCGUCUGGGGCUUUCCGAAGAUAGCCUCCUGGGCACUGAGCGUGUUUGGAAAGCUCCGAGUUGCGACUGAAGAUGAAAAGCUGGCCUGAAUGCAGGGCAAUGAGUUCCUUUGAGAAUUAAGUCCAUAAAAAAAUGAAAUUUGAUAGAGGAGCUGAAGGAUUUAUUGAAAUGGAUGAGCAAUUGUAGGAUCACAGAUGCCAAAGAGGAAGAAUAGGGCUGUUGGGUCUUCCUGCCAGGUCAGGGCUGUCUAGUCCAGCAACUUGUUCAGUUGUUUCGAAUGAGGGUUUCCAUUGCUUCCCUUCUGAGACCAUUGUGUUUCCUGAUAGGAAAAAGUAGUAACAAUGAGAUCUAACUCCCAGGCUAAAUUUUUCUUCCAUCUAAUUGCCGGCUAAUGUUCUUAGUCAUUUUAAUGGGAAAUACAUACUCCAGAGAGAGAGAGAAGGGAUUUCUUGGGGGCCCUCAGAUGUUGUGCCAUUGGCAGUGGCGUUUUCACCAGUGUGAAAAUUUUUGCUUCUAGCUUUGGAAAUACCUUUAAGCUAUGGUGAACUCAUGAAUGAAAUGAGGGUUUAUCCGUCCUUCUGCGUCUCAUCGGUGGGAUGCUCUGGCUCUUUGUGCCCAAACAACCCUGUGUAAUGCACUACUGCGUGUGUCAGAGCAAAUGUGCUCUUGGCAUGUGGAAAGUGCAGGGUAGAACGUGAAUUUGAGCUAAAACUUCUGCAUUUGAGACGCAUGCCCACUGAGCAGGGGUGGCUUGAGCAUAUUUGGGAGUUUAUAGCUGCUACGGGCAUGGGUCCAUAGGGUGACUGGAGAUCCUCAUACUGGAGAAGCUCUGGAGAAGUGCAAAAUGAUAAUGGUUAUGCCAGCCCAGGACUUUAUCCAGGACUUUAUCUGGGACUCUUAUCCCUUUGCACUGAGCAGGGGAGGCAAAGGCCGGAAAGAGGAGACUGCAUUUACUCCUUCAUUCAUGGGGAUGCUGCACGUCACAGUUCAUAGAGGGGGGAUUGGUCUCAGCUGUGAAGGCAGCUGCCAGUCUGCUUCUUCUGACGGUUGUUUAAUGCUUGUUAAAGGAACUCACCCUUUAGUUUAGAUUCAGCAUUUCACUUGAUAGCUUUCUGUGCAGCCACCGGGGCUGGGAAAAGGGAGGGAAGAGGAAUCCCAAGAGCAGUAGCAAGACAGAGGAGAACAGCCAGGGAAGGGAAAAAAAUAUAAGGACAUUGUUUCUAACAGCACUUAGUGGCCUAGAUUUUCUUUUCACAGCUAUUUCAAAAGUCUGCUUUAUUGUAGAUCCAUUCAGCUUUUAUUGGUAUAUAGCACACUGGGUAGCAGCAGCCACUGUUGUCUGCACGGCUCUUAACAUGAUACUCUGCCAGAUGGCAAGAAUAUAAACCUGCGUUUGUACUCUGCGAUUGAUCAAAGUUUUUUGCUGUUGUCACCCCUGUAACAUUGUCACAGAUGUAAGGCUACUACACCCCGGCUCUCAUCCCCGCUACCUCCCUGUGUAUAAAUUCAGUACAGUGCCCCUUUUCAUAGCAAUAUAGUGCCCGCAUUCCUUAAAUCCCAAGGAUAACCCCGUGCAGGGGAGGAUGCACUGCAAGGUUUCGCCAGGAGGCUUUUAGAUGAGGUUUGUGCACAGGCGUGUGUAGGGAGUGAAGCUGGCUGGGGGGGGGGGGUGGACCUCCAGUAGAUGGAAAUCAGCAGCCCAGCUACGUAACUGCUCUGAGCUACUCCAGGGCAGAACCCAGCCUGGGAUCUCAGCAGGAAUCCCGAAAAGGAAAGGGAUUUGGGAGC